ACUACAUUAGAUACCCCCGUAGUCCUAGCCGUAAACGAUACUCGCUAGGUGUCGGCCACGGUGCGACCGUUGUCGGUGCCGUAGGGAAGCCGUGAAGCGAGCCACCUGGGAAGUACGGCCGCAAGGCCGAAACUUAAAGGAAUUGGCGGGGAGCACCACAACGGGUGGAGCUUGCGGUUUAAUUGGAUUCAACGCCGGGAAGCUCACCGGAUAAGACAGCGGAAUGAUUGCCGGGCUGAAGACCCUGCAUGACCAGCUG
rnacentral:rRNA from 1 species